AGAGUUUGAUCAUGGCUCAGAAUCAACGCUGGCGGCGCGCCUAACACAUGCAAGUCGAACGAGAAAGCAGGAGCAAUCUUGUGAGUAAAGUGGCGUACGGGUGAGUAACACGUGGAUUAUCUACCUCUUUGUGGGGGAUAACCCUGGGAAACCGGGGCUAAUACCGCAUAAGUCUGAGAGGAGAAAGCAGCAAUGCGCAGAGAGAGGAGUCCGCGGCCGAUUAGUUAGUUGGCAGGGUAAAAGCCUACCAAGACAAAGAUCGGUAGCCGGCCUGAGAGGGCACACGGCCACACUGGCACUGAAACACGGGCCAGACUCCUACGGGAGGCAGCAGUGGGGAAUCUUGCACAAUGGGGGCAACCCUGAUGCAGCGACGCCGCGUGAGCGAUGAAGCCCUUCGGGGUGUAAAGCUCUUUCGGCAGGGAAGAUUAUGACGGUACCUGCAGAAGCAGCUGCGGCUAACUACGUGCCAGCAGCCGCGGUAAUACGUAGGCAGCGAGCGUUGUUCGGAGUUACUGGGCGUAAAGGGUGUGUAGGCGGUUUUCUAAGUCUGGUGUGAAAUCUCCCGGCUCAACUGGGAGGGUGCGCCGAAAACUGGAAGGCUAGAGUGCGGGAUGGGUAAGUGGAAUUCCUGGUGUAGCGGUGAAAUGCGUAGAUAUCAGGAGGAACACCUGUGGUGUAGACGGCUUACUGGACCGCAACUGACGCUGAAACACGAAAGCGUGGGUAGCAAACAGGAUUAGAUACCCCAGUAGUCC
rnacentral:rRNA from 1 species